GACGUAGGGGGCCAGCGUUGCUCGGAAUUACUGGGUGUAAAGGGUUCGUAGGCGGGAUGGCAAGUCGGUCGUGAAAUCCUUCGGCUCAACCGAAGAACGUCGAUCGAUACUGCUGUUCUUGAGGGUUGCAGAGGAGACUGGAAUUCCCGGUGUAGCGGUGAAAUGUGUAGAGAUCGGGAGGAACACCGGUGGCGAAGGCGGGUCUCUGGGCAAUUCCUGACGCUGAGGCGCGAAAGCGUGGGGAGCAAACGGG
rnacentral:rRNA from 1 species